AGCAUAUAAUUAAGCGGAGGAAAAGAAACUAACCAGGAUUCCCCUAGUAAGGGCGACUGAAGCGGGAAGUGCUCAGGAUGUGAAUCUGCGCUUAUGCGCCGAAUUGUGGUCUGUAGACAGUGACGUUAUUGGCCGGGCCAAGUCCCUUGGAAAAGGGCAGCAGAGAGGGUGAGACUCCCGUCCGCCUGGCUGAAUGAGUCGCUAGUCAACGAGUCGAGUUGUUUGGGAUUGCAGCUCUAAGUGGGUGGUAAAUUCCAUCUAAAGCUAAAUAUUGGUGGGAGACCGAUAGCGUACAAGUACCGUGAGGGAAAGAUGCAAAGAACUUUGAAAAGAGAGUUAAAGAGUACCUGAAAUUGCUGAAAGGGAAGCGAAGGAAACCAGUGUUGAAUGUGUCAUACUUCCUGAUCCGCUUGCGGAUUGGGCGCUGUGUCAUGUUUUGGGUUGUCCUUGGUUGGUCGCAAUGGAAGAGCGCUGAAGGAGUUGACUUUAGUUGCUAGCAUUGCUUCUGACUGAGGAGGACGAAAUGGUUUUCUUUACCCCGUCUUG
rnacentral:rRNA from 1 species